rnacentral:lncRNA from 1 species
UGAUGUGCUCCUUAGACACGCCUAGGUCCUGUACAAGUGGUUGGCAUCGGAGAGAUGUCUUGACCCGAUCCCUCCAACGCUCAAGUCAGUAGAGUAUAUGGAGGGGGUUUAGUAGAAUUCAGAAGAGUUGAGAUAGAGACCGCUUGCCCCCAUUUGGCUUGGGAGCCUGAGUUUUAUACCUGAGAGAUCAAUGGCGUGAGACGAGCGAUGGGCAAGGGUGUCCCUUACCCUGCUAGGAGAUCAUUGAUGGUGGUAGCUGACGAGCAUGUCCUUUGAAGGAUGAUAUCAGGGUAGGAUGCCCGUAAUGAUAUGCUUUGUCAUAGCCCUUGGCCUGUCAUAAUGCUCGGUGUCUUCUAUGCCCGAAUAUCUUUGUAAACUGUGUUCUUGUCGACCGGGGCCAUUAAUGGCCUUUAAGAUGGCCAACCGGCUUGCCGCCACCCCAAGACUCCUUUUAGGGUCCACUAUGAGGGGCUGACUCAGGAUAUGAGAGUGUGGGAGAGCGCCUCGGUCGCAAGUGAGUAUUGUUGGGGGUCGCUCAGCCUUACUCUGAACAAAUUGGUGUAAUACACCCCCACAAAGUCUUUAGUCAACCAAUGCAAUCGUAAUGAGGUUCCGGUAGGUUCUUGCACAUGGGUCCUUUUUUUCCAUUGCUCCUCGACAUUGACCCAUCCAUUUUGAACAGCAUCACCAUUACAUGAGGGGUCUUGCUGACCGAGCGCAUGACGUCAAGGUAUUGGUGGACGAAUUGUCUCGGGUGAAUGAGGGUCUCCAAGAGAGGGUCGUCGAGUUAGAGAAGAGGCUUCUCUCGUCGACUGAGGAUGCUCCAAUCGCCAAGACAAUUGAUUUGCUGGGGCAGGCUUGAUGAUAAUUGGAAGAUGCCAAGCAGCGUCUGGAGGUCCUGUGACAAAGGUUGGAGGACACUGAGGAGAGGGGCCACCAUUUGAAGGACUAUUUGUAGAUGCACUUUGAUGAGUUGAUGGCCACCAGGAUCAAGGCCCAGGAAGCUAAAGAGCUCCUGG